rnacentral:lncRNA from 1 species
AAAGAGCAGCAGGAUGGAUCCAGCAUCCUCUCCUGAUAAAAGAGGGCUAGAAGACGGGAGGCUCCGGGAAGUCUACUGGAGUCAUGAAGACACUGAAAAGUGAUGAAUCCACAUAACCAUGACACUGGAAAUGAAGUUUGAGUGGCAGUCAGAAUCUGGGAGGAAGCAUUGCUAAGUGAAAAUCUUAUGGAGCUUGACUAAAAAUCCCUGUCAGGAACCGUCAAAAGCUGUGUCCCUGACAUGAAAAAUCUUGCUGGAAGUUGAGAGAGGUUUAUGCCUACUCCGUGAUCCGGGAACACAAGACCUUUACCAACCAAAAAAGUGGAUAGCUGUUCUUCUGCUGUGAAGGUUAAUAAAGGGAUGGAAAACAAACUGAAACUGGCUCAAGUGAAUGCUCACUGGAAGGCUUACUGGAAAACUUACUGGAAGGAUGUGAGGACAUGUUCGGGAAUCUAUUUGCAGAAAACAUAUUCAGCCCUGUCCACCACAGCCAGCUGGCUGAAGAGCUCAAAAGGCAAGAAAUCAGCAAGAGAGAGAGAUGAAGCAUGAGAAAUGAGCAAAAAACACCCAGCACAUCAUAAUCUUGGACAGUUUAGCAGUACAUGAAAAUAGAUGGUCCUCGCCCCAAGGGACUGCAGUAACCCUGAAUAAACAGGAUGUCUCUCACUUUUAGCAGUUCUUUCUGUGCUAGUAUUGGGGAAAUAUAUUUUUGGCUGCAUGCAAAAUGGUAAAAGACAUCUAUUAAGAAAAUGAAAACAAUGCUUCUGUUUUAGACGAAGCUUUUGAAGGUUUAAGGAUCACCUAUUUAUUGACAAAAUUGUUUCCGUGGCUUAAAAAUAAAAUACAAACAAAUACUA